rnacentral:rRNA from 1 species
AGGACGAACGCUGGCGGCGUGCCUAACACAUGCAAGUCGAACGAGAUCCAUCCAGUGGCAACACUGGUGAAGAUCUAGUGGCGAACGGGUGAGUAACACGUGAGGAACCUGCCCCGAAGACCGGGAUAACUCUCCGAAAGGAGAGCUAAUACCGGAUACCCCCAACUGAUCGCAUGGUCGGAUGAGGAAAUGGAUUCCGCUUCGGGAGGGCCUCGCGGCCUAUCAGCUAGUUGGUGAGGUAACGGCUCACCAAGGCAUCGACGGGUAGCUGGUCUGAGAGGACGAUCAGCCACACUGGAACUGAGACACGGUCCAGACUCCUACGGGAGGCAGCAGUGGGGAAUCUUGCGCAAUGGGCGAAAGCCUGACGCAGCAACGCCGCGUGGGGGAUGAAGGCUCUCGGGUUGUAAACCCCUUUCAGUAGGGACGAAAUCAGACGGUACCUACAGAAGAAGCCCGGCCAACUACGUGCCAGCAGCCGCGGUAA